rnacentral:lncRNA from 1 species
CUUAAUCAAUGCCCCAACGUGGCUUCUAUGCUUAUCCCGCAAUCAACGUAGGCAUCAAAGGACGAUUCAGAUCAAAUUUUAUACCCACAUCACCAACCGAUCAUCGCCACGUAUCCUACGAUGCGUUGGAUUCCACUAGACCUCUUAUUUUAAAGUGAUUUUUUUUCUUCUUCCACCACCUUGUAGAACUCAAAUACCAAUUAGCCUAAAAACACUCACAACCCAACCCAAGUUUUUUCAGUUUUUCUCUUCCCAAAGAGUUUUGUUUUGUCUAUUGUUCUCAUGGGUGGGUUUGAACAGCAGAUGAAGGAUAGAGCCAAGGAGCUCAAGGUCUUGCUCAAGAAAGGGGUGAAGAUUGUGGGAGAUUCAUGCAAGAAGGGGUGGAACAAAGUCAAACACAUCAAACGCUAGCUGAUUAGUGAUUUGUAAUCAUUUGUUGCAUGGCUUAUUAUCCCAAAGUCUCUUGAUUGGUUUUGUUUUUUGGUAUUGUUAUUUGUACUUUCAUAGGUUUGGUUUGCAUGUAAAAUGUAGUCCUUCUAUUUUUUUGUCCCUCUCUCCCCUUUUUUGGGGUUGUUUUUGUCUCUUCCUAGGGAAGUAAUUUUGGUGUGUCCGAGUUUGUUUGUUUUGUUAAAUCUAAAAUUUUGUUUUAUUAUUCUCUCUGUUCUUCCUCUGGAUUGGUAUGUAAAAUUGCUAGUGAGGACCCAAGUUCCAGAUCUUGUUUCUUUUGAUUCUAUUUGUGUAAUAUUUUAAUUUCUUUUAUCUUGCUUAUUGUCCUUUUCUGUUAACUAGUAGGGUGGUGUUUGAAAUUUGAAAACUAUAUGGUUCAGGGGAUCCGGAUGCAUCCCCCGAUAACUUUUUAUUUUAUUAGUUGGUGUGUGAUUCAAUUUUAACUUGGGAAGCUUAAAUGAGUAGGGAGAGGGUCAUGAUCAUGCAUGGGGCUUGUUUCUUAAUCAUGAUUUAUUUUGGUUCUGAACGCGUUAUUCGGCAAGUUUUAAUCAAUCAAAUAGUGGGAUAAAAAGGUCCACCAAUGCUAGAUUGAACCCAUAUCCUAUAAAAUAAGGUUUUGAAGGUUUUGAUGGGAACACUAUUUUCCUUCAUUCAUUUCGACUAUGUCGCUGAGGAAGUUUGUGGGGGCAAAUAAUACUUUUAGGUUUGAACAAGGUGCAAGUGAAUAGACAC